rnacentral:rRNA from 1 species
CACGUAGGGCGCAAGCGUUGUCCGGAAUUAUUGGGCGUAAAGAGCUCGUAGGCGGUCUGUUGCGUCCGCUGUGAAAACUCGGGGCUUAACCCCGAGCCUGCAGUGGAUACGGGCAGACUAGAGGUAGGUAGGGGAGAAUGGAAUUCCCGGUGUAGCGGUGAAAUGCGCAGAUAUCAGGAGGAACACCGGUGGCGAAGGCGGGUCUCUGGGCAGUAACUGACGCUGAGGAGCGAAAGCGUGGGGAGCGAACAGGA